CCUACGGGUGGCUGCAGUGGGGAAUAUUGGACAAUGGGCGAAAGCCUGAUCCAGCCAUGCCGCGUGUGUGAAGAAGGCCUUCGGGUUGUAAAGCACCUUCAGUGGGGAAGAAAGCCUUGGGGCUAAUACCCUCGAGGAAGGACAUCACCCACAGAAGAAGCACCGGCUAACUCCGUGGCAGCAGCCGCGGUAAUCCGGAGGGUGCGAGCGUUAAUCGGAAUUACUGGGCGUAAAGCGCGCGUAGGCGGUCUGAUAAGCCGGUUGUGAAAGCCCCGGGCUCAACCUGGGAACGGCAUCCGGAACUGUCAGGCUAGAGUGCAGGAGAGGAAGGUAGAAUUCCCGGUGUAGCGGUGAAAUGCGUAGAGAUCGGGAGGAAUACCAGUGGCGAAGGCGGCCUUCUGGACUGACACUGACGCUGAGGUGCGAAAGCGUGGGUAGCAAACAGGAUUAGAUACCCCAGUAGUC
rnacentral:rRNA from 1 species